CCUACGGGAGGCUGCAGUGGGGAAUAUUGGGCAAUGGGCGCAAGCCUGACCCAGCAACGCCGCGUGAAGGAAGAAGGCUUUCGGGUUGUAAACUUCUUUUAAGAGGGAAGAGCAGAAGACGGUACCUCUUGAAUAAGCCACGGCUAACUACGUGCCAGCAGCCGCGGUAAUACGUAGGUGGCAAGUGUUGUCCGGAUUUACUGGGGGUAAAGGGCGUGCAGCCGGGAAGACAAGUCAGAUGUGAAAUCCCGCGGCUCAACCGCGGAACUGCAUUUGAAACUGUUUUUCUUGAGUACCGGAGAGGUCAUCGGAAUUCCUUGUGUAGCGGUGAAAUGCGUAGAUAUAAGGAAGAACACCAGUGGCGAAGGCGGAUGACUGGACGGCAACUGACGGUGAGGCGCGAAAGCGUGGGGAGCAAACAGGAUUAGAUACCCGUGUAGUC
rnacentral:rRNA from 1 species